CUGGUUGAUCCUGCCAGUAGUCAUAUGCUUGUCUCAAAGAUUAAGCCAUGCAUGUCUAAGUAUAAGCAACCUAUACUGUGAAACUGCGAAUGGCUCAUUAUAUCAGUUAUAGUUUAUUUGAUAGUCCCUUACUACUUGGAUAACCGUAGUAAUUCUAGAGCUAAUACAUGCGUGAAGUCCCGACUGCCUCGGCGGAAAGGAUGUAUUUAUUAGAUCGAUACCAGCCCGCUUGCGGUUCUUGGUGAAUCAUAAUAACUGAGCGAAUCGCAGCCUCGUGCAGCGAUGGUUCAUUCAAGUUUCUGCCCUAUCAGCUUUCGAUGGUAGUGUAUUGGACUACCAUGGCAGUCACGGGUAACGGAGAAUAAGGGUUCGAUUCCGG
rnacentral:rRNA from 10 species